CACACUGAGGUUAGAAAGCGUGGGUAGCAACAGGAUUAGAUACCCUGGUUAGUCCACGCCGUAAACGAUGUCGACCAGCCGUUGUGUGCCUAGCGCACUUUGUGGCGAAGUUAACGCGAUAAGUCGACCGCCUGGGGAGUACGGCCGCAAGGUUAAAACUCAAAUGAAUUGACGGGGGCCCGCACAAGCGGUGGAGCAUGUGGUUUAAUUCGAUGCAACGCGAAGAACCUUACCUACUCUUGACAUCCUGCGAAUUCGGUAGAGAUACCUUAGUGCCUUCGGGAACGCAGAGACAGGUGCUGCAUGGCUGUCGUCAGCUCGUGUUGUGAAAUGUUGGGUUAAGUCCCGUAACGAGCGCAACCCUUGUCCUUAUUUGCCAGCGCGUAAUGGCGGGAACUCUAAGGAGACUGCCGGUGACAAACCGGAGGAAGGUGGGGACGACGUCAAGUCAUCAUGGCCCUUACGAGUAGGGCUACACACGUGCUACAAUGGUCGGUACAAAGGGUUGCGAGCUCGCGAGAGUCAGCCAAUCCCGAAAAGCCGAUCUCAGUCCGGAUCGGAGUCUGCAACUCGACUCCGUGAAGUCGGAAUCGCUAGUAAUCGUAGAUCAGAAUGCUACGGUGAAUACGUUCCCGGGCCUUGUACACACCGCCCGUCACACCAUGGGAGUGGACUGCACCAGAAGUGGUUAGCC
rnacentral:rRNA from 1 species